CUACGGGCUGCUGCAGUGAGGAAUAUUGCACAAUGGGGGGAACCCUGAUGCAGCAACGCCGCGUGGAGGAUGACGCAUUUCGGUGUGUAAACUCCUUUUAUAUGUCAAGAAAAUGACGGUAGCGUAUGAAUAAGCACCGGCUAACUCCGUGCCAGCAGCCGCGGUAAUACGGAGGGUGCAAGCGUUACUCGGAAUCACUGGGCGUAAAGGACGCGUAGGCGGGUUGGAAAGUCAGGUGUGAAAUCCUACAGCUUAACUGUAGAACUGCACUUGAAACUUCUAAUCUAGAGUAUGGGAGGGGGAGAUGGAAUUAGUGGUGUAGGUGUAAAAUCCGUAGAUAUCACUAGGAAUACCUAAAGCGAAGGCGAUCUCCUGGAACAUUACUGACGCUAAGGCGUGAAAGCGUGGGGAGCAAACAGGAUUAGAUACCCGGGUAGUC
rnacentral:rRNA from 1 species